rnacentral:rRNA from 1 species
UACGUAGGGGGCAAGCGUUGUCCGGAUUUAUUGGGCGUAAAGAGCUCGUAGGCGGUCUGUCGCGUCUGCUGUGAAAACCCGAGGCUCAACCUCGGGCCUGCAGUGGGUACGGGCAGACUAGAGUGCGGUAGGGGAGAAUGGAAUUCCUGGUGUAGCGGUGGAAUGCGCAGAUAUCAGGAGGAACACCGAUGGCGAAGGCAGUUCUCUGGGCCGUAACUGACGCUGAGGAGCGAAAGCGUGGGGAGCGAACAGG